UUCGCCUUCAUGAAGCCGGAAUUGCUAGUAAUGGCAGGUCAGCAUACUGCCGUGAAUACGUUCCCGGGCCUUGUACACACCGCCCGUCACACCAUGAGAGUUGGGAAUACCCGAAGCCUGUGAGCUAACAUUAUGAGGCAGCAGUCGAAGGUAGAAUCAAUGAUUGGGGUGAAGUCGUAACAAGGUACC
rnacentral:rRNA from 1 species